rnacentral:rRNA from 1 species
UCAGGCCUAACACAUGCAAGUCGAACGGUAACAGGAAGCAGCUUGCUGCUUCGCUGACGAGUGGCGGACGGGUGAGUAAUGUCUGGGAAGCUGCCUGAUGGAGGGGGAUAACUACUGGAAACGGUAGCUAAUACCGCAUAAUGUCGCAAGACCAAAGAGGGGGACCUUCGGGCCUCUUGCCAUCGGAUGUGCCCAGAUGGGAUUAGCUUGUUGGUGGGGUAACGGCUCACCAAGGCGACGAUCCCUAGCUGGUCUGAGAGGAUGACCAGCCACACUGGAACUGAGACACGGUCCAGACUCCUACGGGAGGCAGCAGUGGGGAAUAUUGCACAAUGGGCGCAAGCCUGAUGCAGCCAUGCCGCGUGUAUGAAGAAGGCCUUCGGGUUGUAAAGACUUUUCAGCGGGGAGGAAGGGAGUAAAGUUAAUACCUUUGCUCAUUGACGUUACCCGCAGAAGAAGCACCGGCUAACUCCGUGCCAGCAGCCGCGGUAAUACGGAGGGUGCAAGCGUUAAUCGGAAUUACUGGGCGUAAAGCGCACGCAGGCGGUUUGUUAAGUCAGAUGUGAAAUCCCCGGGCUCAACCUGGGAACUGCAUCUGAUACUGGCAAGCUUGAGUCUCGUAGAGGGGGGUAGAAUUCCAGGUGUAGCGG